rnacentral:lncRNA from 1 species
AGGUCGCAUAUCGAUGCCAGACGUUCGAUACAGUUACAAUCACUGCCAGGGAAGGAAAGCGACAUAGUAAUGUAUACAGUGAAUAAAGCUCCUUCUUAUAACAAUGUAUUAAAUAGAACAAGAAGAGGUUUAGCCCAGAAAUUAGACAACCUUGAAAACCAGAGAGAUCAUCCUGGGAAAAAAUCUGGAGAUUUCGGUAUUACUGCUGAUAUGAGGUAUUUAUUUUUCCUAAUUAAAAUUAAAAUUAUACUCAUUCUCUAUGUAGCGCCUGUGAUAUGUUCCCACGAUUAGCUGUUAUAAAAAUCAAAAGUAGUUAAGAUUGUAACCUUAGAAACUAGAUCAGUGUCAUUUAAGAAGGAAUUAGAUAAUAUCACAUACUAAGGAAGUAAAUCGGCAAUAUUGAUCCCUUUAUUGAACAUUGAACUCUUGCAGUGAUCACUGAUGAUGAUAACAUUUCCAUAUGUUCAGUUAAAGUUAUGUUUAAAGGUAUUGCUAUAAAAAUAAAAUAGUAAAUUAUUCGAUGCAGUAUAUAUAUUUAUAAUCAUUUUAAAAUAAA